rnacentral:rRNA from 1 species
CAGCCGCCACGGUAAUACGAAGGGGGCUAGCGUUGCUCGGAAUGACUGGGCGUAAAGGGCGCGUAGGCGGCGAUCAAAGUCAGGCGUGAAAUUCCUGGGCUCAACCUGGGGGCUGCGCUUGAUACUUGGCUGCUUGAGUGGGGAAGAGGGUCGUGGAAUUCCCAGUGUAGAGGUGAAAUUCGUAGAUAUUGGGAAGAACACCGGUGGCGAAGGCGGCGACCUGGUCCUUGACUGACGCUGAGGCGCGAAAGCGUGGGGAGCAAACAGGAUUAGAUACCCCGGUAGUCCCUGUCUCUUAUAC